ensembl:misc_RNA 7SK 7SK RNA
GGAUGUGACGGCAGUAUGGCUGUGACAUGUCAGCCCUUUGAUCACCCGUGUUGAGGCAGCUGAUCUGGCGGGCUCAAAAGGUAUCCUCUUUCUCCCUCACCGCUUCAGGUGCAUCCUUCCCAAAGCUACAUGCUGGGGAGGGGGGGCACCCACCCCUCAUAGAGAGGAGGGCUGGUUCCUUGGGCAAAGGUAUAUGAAUAGCUCUGCUCCCCUGCUAGAACCUUCAAACCUUUGUGCCCCUCUCCACCAAUACAUAUACUGCAGGCCCCAGCUUCUCAUACAGAGCUUCUGAUGCAUUUGAAGUAGGAUUU